CCCGGACAUGUCAGUGUACGCACCUGAGGCUGAGUCGACCUAGCGGAGUCCCGGAUCUGGCUCAGACAUUCGUCUCCGAUGUUGGCCGUUUACCGGGAUCGACACUCGAGCAACGUGGCUCACCACCGCGCCUCACCACUCCUCCACCUCAUUUUACUGGGGCACAAAACACGGCCCACGUCACCCACCCACAUCGCCUUCACCGGCAUCACCCCAAACAGCAGGCAUCGAGUUUAAACCACGCGCAACUCCCUUGCCAACGCCCCAAGCACCAGGGUGUGGUCCGGGGAGGAGCGUCCGUUUUGCGUCUAUAAAAGCGACCGUCUUGGCAUUGCGAAUCGCACAGUUCACUCUCAAGAACCCCUGCAGCAUCUCAUCCAUCAAGCACCAUGGCACAAAAAACCAAGGAAGAAACUCUUCUGGAUCUGUUUAAAGCUAUCGAUACGGAUAAUUCAGGAACCCUCACGGCAAAGGAGAUUCUAGCCGUUCUAAAUAACCCAAAUUUGAAGUCACCUAAGAAGCACACUCUGAAAGAGGUGGAGGCCUUGGUCGCGUCGAUAGAUACGUCCGGUGACGGCAAAGUAGACUUCAAAGAAUUCCUGCAGGUGUUCAAGUCCCAUAUGUGAUGAACCACCAUGUCCUGCCGGCCAUCACCAGUUUACUCCAGCGUUCACCUAAAACUUACCAACACUGUUUCUGCCUGAAUUUAUGUAUUGUCCUCCGCAAUAUCAGAUAACAUGUUGUCUUUUGCAGAGUGCCAGAUGUUAAAUACCACAAUGCUGUUUUGGCAAAAGUAGGCCCACGUGUUACACAUUUUAACAAUAACAUUUAAAAUUUAAAAAGAAAUCGGCCCUUAAAUAAAAUUUUUGUGAUUUUUUUUUUUUCCAACCAUGUUUCGAUGAAAUGAUGAAAAACAUGUGAGUGUGGUGCUCACAUCCCAGAAGCCCAUUUUUACAUCAGCAGAAUCGAAUAAAUUAAGCAGUGCCUCGGUGUUUGGAAAGCCAUUGGAGUUCGGGUGGCGAUGAGAAUUUGUAUUUUUGUAUUCUCUAACUGUUGAUGUGUGGCACCCAAAAUAAAAGUUAAAUGGGGA